rnacentral:RNase_P_RNA from 1 species
AGCCGGAUAAUCGCGCCUUAUAAAGGUGAGGAAAGUCCGUGCAUCCGAGGACAGCUCGCCGGAGAAACUCCGGACGGCGUGAGCCGGUGGAUCGGACCACAGAAAGGGGAUUUUUUCCCAAAAGACUGCCGAUGGAUUAAUUUCACAGGCGAUGGUGCAAAGGUGAGGUAAGAGCUCACCGGAUAUGCUGAGAAGUAUAUGCCAGGCAACCCCCGAGCGGAUGCAAGAUUGAAUCAAGCGUUUGAGGUGUCCGCCAAGCUUGGAAAAAUCGCUGGAGAUUGGGAGCAAUCCCAAUACAAGAUAGAUGAUUAUCAGGGUAAAUCUUUUACCUGAACAGAACACGGCUUAUGAGCUGCUUUA